ensembl:miRNA
UGUUUUACAUGUUGAUCCUAUUCCCUCUGUUUUAGUGGAGAAUUGUACAAGGGAAUUAAGAUGUUCUAAGACA